AUGUGCAAGCCGACCAGGAUUCCACGGAAUUCAGCUAUCAUUUCGCUUCCUUCCAACUUUGAAUGUGUUUGGAAAUCAAUACCAUAGUUUCAUUUAGUUGAUAAAAAACUCAUUGGAUCUUUAAAAGUUCUGUUACCGAGCAAUUCAACGAUCGAACGAAACAGCUGUCGGACCUGAACAGCAGACCUGGCAGAUUGUCGAUGUGAUUGGAGAGACAGUGUUACAUGCAACUGGGCCCAAAGUUGUUACACAGCCACCUCAGUGACAUGAAGCUGCAGAGAUUCUAUGCCUCAUGAAGAUAAAAUCUGCCUUCCAUCAUGUCAAUCAAAGAUGGAAGUAUACCUCAUGUGCAAAGAGGAGAUCACAGUUUGUAGUGAAGAGGCAGAGGCAAUUUCUUAGUCAUCCUUCACCGUCAUGUGGGAGGCAAAUUUCAAGACUGAUAAUUCCUAAGUGCUGAAAGAGAACAGUACUAUCAGAGCAGGGUGAAAGUGGAACAGCAGCCAAAGAAAUACUUGUCACUGAUCGUUGAUGGAAUGGACCAAGCACAGACAAACAUUCCACAUUUUACAAGUAUCUCUAAG